rnacentral:lncRNA from 1 species
UAUCAUCUUCUUCUUCACAGGAAAGGGGACUAACAGUAAAAAAAAAAAUGGAGAACAUUCCAAUUUCAUUUUUCUUCUUCACGGUUCACAUAUUACACAGAGAAGACCCUCUAUUUUUUUUUGACACAAGAAUUCAUUCACACUCACCCCAAGCUAUCUACGCACACCAUUUUUGAAUCCCCAUUUUUGGCCUUUGAACGGACCUCAGCAUACCAAAAUAGCAAGCACCGAACAUCUUCCUUCAUCACGAUUCACAGAAAAAUAGCACGCACAGUCCACACUCAGAAAUCAUACACGCUGAGAGAUUCGCACACGGGAGAGAGAGAGAGAUUCGAAGUCGAGAUCUGAAAGAAAAAAUACUGUGCUGAUUUCGGGUUACUCGCAAGCGGGUUUCAGUGGGUUUGGUUGCUGCUCCGGCAACCAUUUUGCCAGAAUCUUGCCGUUCUUUGUUGAUUUCUGGACGGGUCCGAUAGGGAAACAAGAUUAUCGCCGGAAUCGGUUGGCCGAAAUAUUCCUCGUCAAUAGUCAGCGUAAAACGUAAAACGUGAAAUCAGCAAUCGAAAAAACCACCCCACCAUUACUCAACAACCAGAAACAUCGGAAUCAGCGAGAGUACCCCCAAAUCCGAUCCAAACUCGACCAGUCCGUCUUUCUUCAUCACUGUUUUGGUAUGUUCGAUUUCUGUUCGGGUCGUUGGGGUACGAUACUGAGCUGGUGUCGAUCAUUUUGAGGUUUUCCUGUAGUCCAUCUAGUGUUGGUUUGCCGUUCGUCGUCAAUUUGUUUCAAUCUGGGUUUAUUUUGCUCUUAGAUUUCGAGAUUGAAAUUUCAUCUUCGGGGGUUUAUGAUUUCUGUUUGAAGUUAUUGAUUAGGCAAUAUACAUUGAGUUGUUGUUCUUGGAUUCAAAUUUAUUCGGAUCGUAAUUCGCGAUAUCGAGUUGGUCGGGUUGUCGAGGCUGAUUCGAGGUUCUUCGGUACGCGGAGUCAUCCUCUUGAUCGACUGAUAUUUGGAAUAAAAUUUCAUCGAGGUCCAUUUCUUCUAACCGAAUCUUUAAUUUAUUUUGACUUUUUGGUGAUGUUGUGGGUGUGACUGAUUUAUUUGUUACGUGUUUGGUAUGUUCGGAUAUGUGUUAUGUGUUGGUUGAUGUUGGUUUCGGACUUUGAAAAGUGAAUUGUUAAAUCGAAGUAUGUUUAAUCAUAUUGUUUGAAAUAAAUUUGGGAACGGGAAUCGAAAAUUGACAAAAGUGAAUAUUACGAUAUUUUUGAUACGUUGUUGAUAUUGAAUGUGAUAUGUCAUCAAUGGGUAGGCAAUAUAGGUCCGAGUAGGCAAAUUUUAAAACUUGUUAUUUUGGUUGAAUGUUGGAAUGUGGGUAUGAAUGUCUCUGUCUAGAUUAUCGUGUUUAAUUCAGAUGUAUUUAUUUAGCCGGGGAAUGCCCCGAGAUCACUUGUAUUUAUUCACUGGGGAAUGCUCCGACGUAUCAUGUUGGCGAAAAAUGAUCGUGAUGAAGGCCCGCCGCGCCAGGUAAGGCAUUGGAGCUUAGAUUUAGUUUAGACUAGGAUUUAUAUUUUCGUAUUUUUUUUUAUUAUUUAUUUUCUCGAACUGUAUAAUUGGACUGGACUUUACGUUUUUUUUAGACUGUUUUGUCUUGUUUAUUGUUUGAUUAUUUUGCGUUCUUUUGUGUGGUUUAUACAGUUCAUAAUGCCAAAAAUAGUCGAUACACUCUACUAAGCGACCGUGGUUGAACCACGGGAUCGAGGGGUGCCUACACCUUCCCCUCGGUCAACAGAAUUCCUUAGUCAGAAUCUCUGUUCGCAAACCAGUUUAAGAGUCAAAUGGUUUUGAAAAAGAAUUUCCAAAAGUGACUUGGCACACCGGAUUAUGCCAAGUAGCGACUCAGAAUAAAAAAUGCAAAUAAUCCUUUUCCGAAACAAAUUUUCAUUUCUUGUCACUAAAAUAAUAAAGCCCUUUCGAACUUUAAAAUAUAUACACAUUUUUGACGUACGCGUAAAAAGGGGUGUGAUAACUUCUGGCGACUCCACUGGGGACAUAUGACAAGUUUUCAGAAUUCGAGCUAUUUUUGGAGUCGUAUCGGCUUUGUUUGGCAUUACGAGAGUGUAUAAACAUUGUUUGUGGUUAUUAUUUGUGUUAUUUUCACUUUUUGUGCUUUUUCGUGCUCUUUGUUUAUAUUAUUUAUCCUAUGUGUUCCCGCUUUAUAUCUGUCAUCAUGAGUCCACCUCCCGGCCUUCUUUCUGCAACAAGUCUGUAGUACACGUGUAGUACACAACCCCUAGUUUGAGUCACCCUUAUUUUAGGGGGGAGCCAUCGGUGUUAUGGAGUAGGUGGAAAGCAAAGCAGCCACUAUCGACCAUACGCUCCCCCGAACAGCCUUGUUAGUAAACCACAACGUAGGUCAACCUUUAGGUCAUGCUUAUGUGCAUCAUACGGAGACCUAGUGGGACCCACAUGGCCCUUUGUAGGAGACUCUCCUCUAAAGCAUCCCUACGUGCUAACUGUUUCAUUUUUUAAGGGUAACGUGGUCAUUUGAUGAACUGAUUUUAAAAAAAAAAAUGUUAGGAGUAAGGUGCGUAGGCAAAAACGAAAAAAAAAAUAAUAGAAGUGAGUCGAAAAGAAUGAAAAAAGAGGAGUGUCGUAGUUUAUUUUAGAAUUCGUUAUGGCUUUUCUUUUUCACAAUCCAAAAACUCAAAAGAGAUAUUUUACAUUUUGUAAAGUAUCAUAAAUUCAAAAAGAAAAAUAAAUAAAUAAAUAAAUUAAAAAAAAAAGAGAGAGAGAGAAAAAAAUUUUGUUUACCUUUUCUACUUAUUUGUCAAAAACAAAAAUGCCAAAAAGAUUUUUUUGUAUAAUUGGUGGUGUCAGUCUUGGUUAAAGCGUCUAGCUAAAAAUCCAAAAAAAAAAAAAAGUUUUUUUUUCUUUUCUUCAUUUUUUUUUUUGGUAGUGUCUCUUAAGUUAAGGUCAAUUUAUUAGUUAAUCAUUAAUUGUCCAAUCUGAAUGAACUACGCAUACCUGAUUCCCUUCCCUCGGGUUGGGAUACGUAGGCAACCCUCGGUGGGUCCGGUAAAUUUUUGUGUCGGCCUUUGUCUUAGUAUUAGCCUAGGUCUCUCACCCCGUAAUCUUGAUUUGUUUGCCAAGUAGACUGAUUUCGCUCAGUACUUCUGUUCAGCAAAUUGGAGUCACGGAUGUGGUCUGUCCUAUCGACAUAUGUUGCGUCAAAAAUCCCAAGGGUUAGGAAUCUUCUGCUCCUGUCGAAUUUUUGAGAUAACGUCUUAUGUGUUAUUACAGGAUGGAUUUGUCCACCAAGUCUAGAGUUCUGAUGGUUGUGAAGGUGCCCAAAAAGUUAAUCAAAUAGUGGGAAAUGUUUAACUAUGUUGAUCANNN